UACGUAGGGGGGCAAGCGUUGUCCGGAAUUAUUGGGCGUAAAGAGCUCGUAGGCGGUUUGUCGCGUCUGCUGUGAAAGACCGGGGCUCAACUCCGGUUCUGCAGUGGGUACGGGCAGACUAGAGUGCAGUAGGGGAGACUGGAAUUCCUGGUGUAGCGGUGAAAUGCGCAGAUAUCAGGAGGAACACCGGUGGCGAAGGCGGGUCUCUGGGCCGAUAUUGACGCUGAGGAGCGAAAGCGUGGGGAGCAAACAGG
rnacentral:rRNA from 1 species